UACGGGAGGCAGCAGUAGGGAAUCUUUCACAAUGGGCGAAAGCCUGAUGGAGCAACGCCGCGUGCAGGAUGACGGCCUUCGGGUUGUAAACUGCUUUUAUAAGCGAGAAAUAUGACGGUAACUUAUGAAUAAGGAUCGGCUAACUACAUGCCAGCAGCCGCGGUAAU
rnacentral:rRNA from 1 species